rnacentral:rRNA from 1 species
AUUGAACGCUGGCGGAAUGCUUUACACAUGCAAGUCGAACGGUAGAGGGGGCAACCCCUUGAGAGUGGCGAACGGGUGAGUAAUAUAUCGGAACGUGCCCAGUCGUGGGGAUAACGUAGCGAAAGUUACGCUAAUACCGCAUACGAUCUAAGGAUGAAAGCGGGGGACUCGCAAGAGCCUCGCGCGAUUGGAGCGGCCGAUAUCAGAUUAGGUAGUUGGUGGGGUAAAGGCUCACCAAGCCAACGAUCUGUAGCUGGUCUGAGAGGACGACCAGCCACACUGGAACUGAGACACGGUCCAGACUCCUACGGGAGGCAGCAGUGGGGAAUUUUGGACAAUGGACGCAAGUCUGAUCCAGCCAUUCCGCGUGCAGGAUGAAGGCCCUCGGGUUGUAAACUGCUUUUGUACGGAACGAAAGGUUUCUAUUAAUACUAGGAGCUCAUGACGGUACCGUAGAAUAGCACCGGCUAACUACGU